rnacentral:lncRNA from 1 species
CUGCUUGCAAAACUGCAGAAGGUCUUGGCUGAGCUGGACUUGGUCUUCCCUUAAGUUAGUGUCCCCUCGGGUGGCGUCCAAAACCAGGAAGCACCUAAAUGGCCAGUAUUCCCUUCCUCUCUGAGGCCUCAGUUUCCCUGUCUGUCAUCAACAGGCAUUUGGACUUAAGUCCCUCAGCUUCUUCUGCAAUGUGCCUCUUCUCCAGAGCUCAAAGUCUGAUCUGGUUCCUCAUCCUUUUUUGAGCACUUCUGACCCCAGUAAACUCUACCAAUAUUCCAACAGAGCAGUGAUCUCAGAGUCUAUCUGAUGCAGUUUGGCUGUCUGUCUUUCAGGGGAAUCUUAUCAACUUUGAGAAAAUAAACAAGGAAAUCAAAGUUCUUCAAGAGAUAAACAGCUGUUCCAAGUGGCAGUGAGGAAAUAUAAUUUCCAAUGUGAGGAAAAUCUUGAGGUCCAGUUUCAGUCGAUGGAGUGUCUCAAUGAGAAUGAAAGCUACAACCUGUCCUGCCUUCUGGAUCCCCUAUCCAAGCAGGCCAGCAACGCACUUAGGGCCAGGAGCAGGAAGUGACUGCCCAGGUCGGCAAGGGCAGACAGGCUCAGAGCUCAGUGGAGUCCGGGCUAAGUGUGAGUUCUCACUGCCCUGACCAGCCUUGGACCAGGGUGACCUGUCUCGCUACUCUGUUCCUUGAGACUUUAUUGUCAUAAAUCUGAUUUGCCUUUCCAAG